rnacentral:rRNA from 1 species
UACAGAGGUCUCAAGCGUUGUUCGGAUUCAUUGGGCGUAAAGGGUGCGUAGGCGGCCAACUAAGUCAGACGUGAAAUCCCCAGGCUCAACCUGGGAACUGCGUCUGAUACUGGAUGGCUUGAAUCCGGGAGAGGGAUGCAGAAUUCCAGGUGUAGCGGUGAAAUGCGUAGAUAUCUGGAGGAAUACCGGUGGCGAAGGCGGCAUCCUGGACCGGCAUUGACGCUGAGGAGCGAAAGCCAGGGGAGCAAACGGG